GUGUAUGCGCACCGUAUAUAUUUGAUGCAAAAAUGGCUUCAGGGUCCCUGAGCUGCUCGAAGUACUCCUUCCAAAGAUGAUUUUGUGUAUGUUGAGCAGUUUUCCUGACUGCUGGUUCAGCGCAGUAUAGAUGGAGGAAGCAGUAGCGCCUGCCUCAGCAGCUUAUAGACAUGUCGGCCGUCUGUGGAGAUUUUUAUUUCCAAAUGUCUUCUGGAUGUUUAGCUUGGGUAGAAAUGUGAAGUUACUCUUCUUAUGGCAUGUUUCUACCGUGCCUCUGCUCCUCGUUACCAUUCAGUUGUUACCUUCCCAUGAUCAUAGAACCUUAUGGUGCUGCGUUGUCUCUUUUGGGAACCGGUGGCAGGAAGACAGUAAAGCCAGAAUGCUUUCAGUGUUGGCACGUCUUUUGUCCUUCAAGAGCAGGAAGAAUAGGAAUGAACCCUCUCUUGGCCUAUAUAUAUAUAUAUACACACACACACACAUAUAUGUAUUUUUGUGGAGGAAAUGGGUCCUACAGAUCAAUGCUUUUCUAUUUCUUAAGUCUGUGAACACGUGGGAUAAUGUUUAUUUUUCUUUCUUUGAUUUUCGCGUUGGGGUUAGCAUAUGAGGAAACAGAAAGCAUACGGCAAUAAAUAUUUACUCUUGUGGGAGUCAGGCUUAGCUCUUGGGAAGUGAGUGGGAGUACUCAGUCUACUUCAAAGGGACUUGGAGCGAGCUCUUCAUGCUGUGCUGGAAGAACUGAAGUUUUCUUGAGUUCUCCAGUUCUGCAAGCACUUACACUGGGAAUUUAGUGCUGCUGAUUUUCAUGAAUCUGUUAUGCAAAGCUCAUCCCCUCUGGAGCUUGGGCUUCUGUUAGGUAUCUCAGUAAGAGCAUUUGAAGCCUGCUGAUAAAGUCUGUGUUGCUAUGAAGAAGCGCUUUUGUCUGUAUGGGAAAGCUCUGACCACAAGCUUUGGUUUCUUCCCUCUUUUCUUUUAUAAUUCCUAGAAAGAGAAGGAGAGAUGUGUAGACAAAUGAUAAUAUCUUGCAGGAAUCAGUAGUAAAUAGUUCCCAUUCAUAUUUAAAUAGUGGGCAUUGAAUGACGCUGAAAUCCUAUGUGACAUCAUUAUCAGAUGUUUUUUAGCCCUUUCCAGGAGCAGGUUUAGGACCAGAUUAUUUGUGGCAGAAGAUGACAGCAACGUGCAAGGCAGCAAAAAGGCACCA
ensembl:lncRNA